rnacentral:rRNA from 1 species
GUGAGUAAUACAUAAGUAACCUGCCCUAGACAGGGGGAUAACUAUUGGAAACGAUAGCUAAGACCGCAUAGGUACGGACACUGCAUGGUGACCGUAUUAAAAGUGCCUCAAAGCACUGGUAGAGGAUGGACUUAUGGCGCAUUAGCUGGUUGGCGGGGUAACGGCCCACCAAGGCGACGAUGCGUAGCCGACCUGAGAGGGUGACCGGCCACACUGGGACUGAGACACGGCCCAGACUCCUACGGGAGGCAGCAUG